rnacentral:tRNA from 1 species
GGGAGGUUGGCCGAGUGGGUUAAGGCGGCAGAUUUAAGUUUUGUCUCAUAAUAUGAGUUCAGGUUCGAACCCCACACCUCUCA